CAAUAAGAGUGUUUAUGGCACUCUUCAAAAAAUCCAUACCCACCUUGUGUGCAACGUAAGAAGAAAAAAAGAAGAUGCGAGUCAUGGGGAAACCCAAGUCUUGCUCCCUUUCUUUUUUCUUUUCCACAUACACCUUUCUAUUAGUUCCUAUUGUCUGAAGCUGUUAGAGAAUGACUAAUUCUUAAACA
rnacentral:misc_RNA from 2 species